GACGAACGCUGGCGGCGUGCUUAACACAUGCAAGUCGAACGGAAAGGCCCUGCUUGCAGGGUGCUCGAGUGGCGAACGGGUGAGUAACACGUGGGUGAUCUGCCCCUUACUUUGGGAUAAGCCUGGGAAACUGGGUCUAAUACUGGAUAGGACCAUGCUGUAGGUGGUGUGGUGGAAAGAUUAGUUUCGGUAAGGGAUGAGCUCGCGGCCUAUCAGCUUGUUGGUGGGGUAAUGGCCUACCAAGGCGUCGACGGGUAGCCGGCCUGAGAGGGUGGACGGCCACAUUGGGACUGAGAUACGGCCCAGACUACUACGGGAGGCAGCAGUGGGGAACAUUGCACAAUGGGCGGAAGCCUGAUGCAGCGACGCCGCGUGGGGGAUGACGGCCUUCGGGUUGUAAACUCCUUUCAGCCAUGACGAAGCCCUUGUGGUGACGGUAGUGGUAGAAGAAGCACCGGCUAACUACGU
rnacentral:rRNA from 1 species